UUGCUCCAGCAGCACAUAUACAAAGAUUGGAACAGUACAGAGCAGCUUAGCGUGGCCCCCUGUGCAAGGAUGACCUGCAAGUUGGUGAAGUAGUCCAUGUUUUU
rnacentral:snRNA from 1 species